rnacentral:rRNA from 1 species
UACGAAGGGGGCUAGCGUUGCUCGGAAUGACUGGGCGUAAAGGGCGCGUAGGCGGAUGGCACAGUCAGAUGUGAAAUUCCCGGGCUUAACCUGGGGGCUGCAUUUGAUACGUGUUGUCUUGAGUUCGGAAGAGGGUCGUGGAAUUCCCAGUGUAGAGGUGAAAUUCGUAGAUAUUGGGAAGAACACCGGUGGCGAAGGCGGCGACCUGGUCCGGUACUGACGCUGAGGUGCGAAAGCGUGGGGAGCAAACAGG